CUUUUUUUUUUUUUUUUAAAUCUUCAUGACAUGAUGAUUUUCUAGUCUGACAGUUUUAAUUUUAACAUUUAGAGCAAAAAAAAAACCUGUUUAAUUACUUGUGCAUGUUUAAAAUUGCAAGCCAUGCCUCAGGAAUUCCAUAAAGUUUAUUUUACUUGAAUAGAAGUCCUGGUAAAAGUGAUUAAAAGAAGCCCUUAGGCCUAGUCACGCAGCCCCUCUGGGUCAGUCUGUGGCUUAUUUACUUUCUCCACUAGGCAGUUUGCGUGUUAGAAUCCCCAAAGCUGCGAGUUUCAGGGGCUUUCCCCUGCUGCCUGCUGUCCCCUUGCUUCUCUUAUCUUGAGGUUCAUGAAGGGCAGCUUGUGGACCUCAGGAUUCAGUGGUCACUCAAGCUCUGAAUCCCUGUGCUGCAAAUUAAAGGCUCAGCUGUGCCUGUGACCUCGAGGAGCGCUGACAGACAAUCGAGGUGGAUACAGGCUUGAACUGACUAAAAUGUUCACCAUGAGAUAUUUCAGGAAACUGUCUUUAAGCCAAAAGUAGAGUGCAGUAUGAAUAAGGGGCAGGAAUAAUGUCUAGAAAUGCAGUAAUAUUGCUAUAAAUUCACAUAGCAGAGGAAGAGUUUAUGUAAUAUUUAUGCUAUAGAGCAAUAACUUCUUCCUUGUUUGUUACAUUUAUCAGUUAUGUAACCAGAUGUUUACAUGCGAGAUUUAUAGGAAAAUGCUGCCCCAGUUUCGUCCCCGAGGUUUUACGGGCAGAGCUCUCUUGCUCACAGCCUUCCCAUAGCUUUCCUGUUGAGUAACCUCAGAGGAUCUUUACCAAAGAUUUUUUUAAAGUAAAUUUCUUUUUAAUAUAGACUUAUACUUUUAUAAUAAUGAAUGUGCACGUACACAUACAUACAGAAAUAUUUAGAAUUAGAUGUUUUCUUUUCACAAGGUCUAAUGAGUAUAAAGGAUCCUAUCACAUUAUUCUGCAAUUCCUUUAAUAUAUAAUUUACAUUGCCUUCUUGUUUUCUUCUAGUAAGCAUUUGAUUUAAACAACACCAAGUACUCUAUUCUUGCUUAUCUAUAUAAAGUUUUGCCUACUAUAGAGAUAUAAAGAUCUAUUACCUUAAUGAUUAUAUGCAUUGCCUUUUGAUAUAUAUUGCCUUACUUAUCAUUUAAAUACAUAAAUAGAAAAAAUAUAAUGUCUGUAACAGAAAACUUAUAAUUAUACCUGAAUUGUUUAAAUGUCAAGAGCACAAACUUUUGGUUAUUCUGUAUAAGAUGAAAAGGGGAAAAAACCCAUCGUCAUGGGCUCUGCAGAGAACAUUCAAAAUAAUUCUCUUUCUAUUUCCGUAGUGGUGGGGAUGGAUCUCUGAGCCUUGCAUAAAAUAGACAAGUGCUCUACCACAGCUAAGCCUCCCUUCCAGAAUAAGAGUUCGUAGCUGUUUGGAUUCCCAUCUCAGACUGACUCAAUAUGGAGUCUGCUUGGCAAACGGCAUUGCCUUUAAAACUCAAAAAUACAUCCUCAGUGUCAGUGACACACCGCCAUCUCUGCAGCUCAAAGAUGUGGGGUUUUGUCCCUGUUAUUAGCGCAUUGUUGUCCCUGUAGGAACAACUUCUGAUCAGAAUUACUACGUGGGGUAUAUGCUGAUUAGGGACACAAACUUAAAAACACUAAAAAUUCCACAAUUAUGUUUAUGUUGGACUUUUAAAAAGUAUGUAACUUAAUAACCGUAAGCCGCUCUUUUGUAUUCGGGCCAGGGGAAGGGGAGAGUGCUCUGUGAGGCUGCAGUAGAGCGUUGGUUAAUAGGCAGGGCUCUGCAAACACAACUGCCAAGCGUCUUCCUAGUUACCACAAUUCCUAUUAAUGUGAACCAGUCAGGAAUAACAGUGUUAUUUCUAUUUGAUGUGGUUUGGGCUUCUCUUGUCAGAUCUGUGUCGGUUGCCCCCUGAUCCUGCCAUUCUCAAGUUUUGAAGGGUGUCGGGGAAAUUAUGGCAGCUGCUAGGGAGAUCCGAGAAACACUGAUGUAGCCUCCCAGCCUCUCACCAUCCCUCUUGGCUUGGAAAGGCUUUUUUUUUUUCCCCAUAUACAUUUCUAGAAAUAUUGCCAUUCUACCUUAGCAUUUCACAUUUGUAGAUUAAACAAGUGAUUGUCCAUCUGUUGCCUACAGCUACAGUACAUGUGUGUUAUGAAUGAAAUAUGACAGCAUGUUCCAUACCCCCGCUCCAGCCAUCUGUAGAAAACCAGCAACCGAAAAAGAUACCUCUGCAGAAUGUGCCUCAAGUGCAUGUCCUGGGAUGGCUCUUCUGGUGUGCGUUCUCACGAGAGACGAUCAAAAGCAGCCUACAACUGUGCCUUAUUUUUUAAAUAAUUUGUUUACACUACCAUGACUCUUGCUCAGUAAUAGAAAUACUACACCCCCAAUUUCAAAGAUAUGUGUGUGUGUGUAUAUGUGUGUGUGUGUGGAGAGAGAGAGAGAGAGAGAGAGAGAGAGAGAGAGAGAGAGAGAGAGAGCAUGCUAGCACACUUCUGUCUUAAUGUAGCUGUUUAGAAGACCUCAUGGCUCUAACGAGUGCAAGCAUGCUCAUGGCCAAGGUGAUCUGUGGGCAGUCCUUGGGCUUUGCUCUUCCCACAGUUUUAGUGGAAUGCUAAAGGCAGAGACUGCAGCAGCCCCUCUGGACUCACAUUUUUGACAUUGUGUUAUGUGUUUGAGUUAGUAAUAAGCACUCUUGAUUUCUGAGCAAGGUAUUACAUUGAGUAUUUCAGGACAAGUUACUUAAUUGGCUGAUAAUUAGAACGAGGCUGCUUGUGAUGCUGUAGGUUGGUUAGCACUGCUUUAUUUCUGACCUUUUCAAACCAACCUGGCCAAAGCUACUGACAAUGCCAGUGCUUAUCCCCUCUCUCCCUUGCUUUCUCCUCUUUUCUCUUUUCCCUCUCUCUCCACCGUGCCUACUAAUGCUGCCCUACUUGGCCUUCUCUUAAGUUUAGUUAGGAUACAACAUUAUGAUCUCAUUAAAGGAGAAAGGCUACCAGAACUUUUAUACUCACCAGCCAGAAAAGCAGCUUUAUGGGGACAUACUCUUUAUCUUGGUUUAUCCCUAGAGGGAGGUGUAGUCUGUGAGCUGCAUUUCAGUGAGUCUGCAUCAGGGACUUAGCUGAUAGGGUAGUACGAUAAAAUUAUCUGGAUAUUUCUCACAUAGAUGCAAAGUGGUCUUUCUAAGGCUAGACAGAGUUCUGUUUUUAACUCUGUCACUUUCACCACAAAAUAGUUAAUAUUUUUUAAUAAGAGAACAUCAUUUUGUCCCACUGCAAUGAACUUGAUAAUUUUCUUUGGGGCAACGAGAAACUGACAUUGGAGCACUUUGCCCAUGGUCCAUAGUACAUGAGAAUAGCUGACUCAGUACUGGUGAAGGGUAGUCUCAGCACUAGGAUGUUUUCUAGUGUACAUUGUUUUGUAGGCAUAUUUUCCCUUAGUAAAGAAGAGAGAGACACUAAUUUACUUUUCUGUUUUAAUUUUUCUUCCUUAUGCAAAGUUUUUUAGACAAUAUUUUAGUUAGCCACCAUGCAUAUGACUAAUUGUUGAGAUCUUUGGAAAGAACAUAUUUUUAUCCAUCCUACUGAAAAAAAAGCUCAAAUCUUUGUUCUUUGCUUCUGAUUGGUAUUUGUUUUAUAGCAGGAUCUAAGGAAGACGACAAGUAUCUCUUAUCUUCUAGCAUUUAUUAAAAAUUAGCAUACCACAGAUACUCAUAUUCUCUUUUAAUUCUUAGAAUGAAUGGCCGAGCUAAGUUUUCUAAGAUACCCAUUCACUUAGGGUCAAGUUAAACCUCCUUCAUCUGACUGAUAGUCACCCUCUGUGCUCCACUAGGAUACUGUUAAACAGCUACCAAUAGACUCCAUGAACUUAUCCCUGAACAUAACUUCUAAAUUCAGUGUUCAGGCCUAGAAGCAGAAUGCUCUAUCAGAUGUGUAGAGGUCACCAUUUUAUGCUCAGCCCAAGUGCUAGGAGGUCUUGUUGAACACACACUCAGUUGCUGUGCCUAGAUGUAUAGUGCUAUGGUCCUUACAAAGAUCUGCAUUCUCUAUUGCUUUAUUUACUGAUGGCCAUAACACAUAUUACUCAAUAUGAUGGCCAGUGUAGAAUACUCUCAAGGCAACCCAGGCUAGCUGGGGAACUGCAUAAAACCUUCUGAAUUCUAGACUCUCUCCCUUCGUGGGUGUGAUGCCACCAAGUACUUCACUUAGUAUUUAUUGACCUUGAUUCCAGUGACAUCACCUUCUACUUCCCUAAACAUUUCCUAAUUCUCUUUGCAUCUACUCUAUGACCCAACUAUAGCUGGCUGGCUGUCAGGGUAGGUGAAAGCACUUUGCUUCAGGUUGAAAGGAAAAGGAAUGAGAAUCCUUCAAGAGCAACUGAUGACCUCCCUUGAAGAGGACUCCCUCCUAAUGAUAGAGCUAGGUAAAGAUGGGUUAGCCACUGUGAAAAAUUAGCCCUCCUCAUCUUCUGGGCUGAUUUAAAAAAAAUAAUAAUGUGUUUCACUGCUGGUUUUGAUGGCAAUAGAAUCAAUUCAUUGAGAAGAAAGGAAGUGAGCUGAGGCAUAUUCCAUCCACAAGAGUCCCUGGCCUCAUAACGUCUCUUUCUCUUUAGCAGUGUCUUCUCAAGGAAAACACUUGACUAUUUCUGUGAUGGACAGAUAAAAAAGUUCUUGACACUAAGGAAGUUCUGCAUCAAUAUUAGUUUUUGGUUUUAAACCCGUCCAUUUAUUACUAAUAUUUGUGUCUAAAGCAUGCAGCUUCUCUCCGUGAUCAAUUUAUACUCUCCUUAAGACAGCCAAGAUCAAGAGAAACCCUGUCUCAAAAGAACAAAACAACAAAAAGAAGAGGAGUUUAUGAUUUAAGUGUUGUCCCCUCAGUAUCUUAGUUCCUUAACUGAUCUUGUUUUAACAGCUAUUGUUGGAUCUCUCUGAGAGACUCAGGCUGAGUGCAGUAAAAUCAAAUAGUGCAUACUUCUUCCUAGCAAUGAGGCCUCUGUGGGGGUUUGGGGAGGACAUGUAAGUGAGGACACCUGAUUGACUUACUACUGGCUGCAUUGGGAAGUAAUAGGAAGACUAGUUAAGGCCCACCAGGACAGCAUCGGCUCCUUUCUGCAAAGAUGCCUUGGCCAUGGUGUAUGGAUUCGAGAAUCUUAACAGCAGAGAAAGCUUUCAUAUACUCAGGCUCAGUGAGAGGCGAUAGGCACUGAAGAAAACCAACUGUUGAUCUCUUCUCACCAUUGUGACAGUCAGAAGAGGGGAACUGGUCAGACACAACAAACACAUACAGUAUAGAUAGGAAAUAGUACCCUGUGGUCUUUGUUGAGACAAAUGCAUUCUUACUGGACCACACUGUAUCCUUUUCUCUUAGAGCAAAUGUGCUGGACUUUUGAACCCUCAAAAAGGAACAAGUGGGCCUCUAUACUUUUUUAUUCUUCUAGGAACAUAGUUAAGGCUCCCAGC
ensembl:lncRNA